GGGGCGACAAUGAGCCACCACCGGUAUCCUUUAUAUUCUGCUCGGUAACCCCAGAGCGGUCCUUUCACUGAUUGUACUCUGCUGUGUUCGGGUUAUAGACGAGCGUGUCCUCUGAAACGUAAAAUGCUUAAUUUCGGCGCUUCAUUCACCUUCCGCGACAUGUUCAGCUCAGAUCCACCACUAGGUGGACACCUGCACGAGCCAGAUGGAGGGUGACUGCUGUAAUCAUGGCAAUGUCUGUCAUUAUGUGAGAUGGGAAGGAUAAGCAUGGAGAAAUGAAACCAGAGCUUUGAGAGGCUGUUGGGGAGUUGUGGACAAGAGCUGAUGAAUUCUGGUAAUGAGCCAGAUGCAUUGCAACAAUUAAACCAAGCUUGCCCCAGUGGAACGUCGUCCUUCUGUUUCCAAAGAAACCAAAGUUUGUAAUUAUCAUGUUUAGGUUUCAUUGGCAUAUUUAUAGCAGGUUUUCAUCUGCCAACAUUUUGCGGCACAUACUGCAUUGAGUUGGUGUGCAGUGUAUCGAGCUGACUUUUUUUUUUUUUUUUUUAUUCAAA